rnacentral:rRNA from 1 species
GGGGAAUAUUGGACAAUGGGGGAAACCCUGAUCCAGCGAUGCCGCGUGAGUGAAGAAGGCCUUCGGGUUGUAAAGCUCUUUUAUCCGGGACGAUAAUGACGGUACCGGAAGAAUAAGCUCCGGCUAACUUCGUGCCAGCAGCCGCGGUAAUACGAAGGGAGCUAGCGUUGUUCGGAAUUACUGGGCGUAAAGGGUGCGUAGGUGGUUCUAUAAGUGAGAUGUGAAAGCCCCGGGCUCAACCUGGGAAAGGCAUUUCAUACUGUAGGACUUGGUGUGCGAGAGGGGAAAGUGGAAUGGCGAGUGGAGCAGUGAAAUGCGUUGAUAUUCGUUGGAACACCAGAGGCGAAGGCGGCUUUCUGGCUCGUAACAGACACUAAAGCACGAAAGCGUGGGGAGCAAAC